ACUAGGAAGCUGUAAUGACUACAUUUUUUAUCUUCUGUUACAGUCCAAUUAUAUUGGAGGCGGUCCGGACUUUCACCGUUCACUAUUCAACCUUGGUGGUCAGAGUCCACUGGUCUUAUAUUACCUUAAGAUGCAUGGAAUCUCCAACACUUUAUCAAACUCUCGAGCUUUCAGGAUCAAUCACACUGAAAUCUACAAAGUACCGCCAGCCUCCCCAACCUACUUGGAUAUUAUUAAGGAAAGCCAAAAGUCUGCACAAGAAAAACACAGUAAUUUUCUGGAUUUUGAGCAUCGCUAUGGUGUAGAGNUGAGCCGUCUCGAAGAACAAAGGCAUAAAGUUACCAGGAUGUACAAAAGGUUUGCUUUUAUUUUCGUUUGUUAAAACAGAAGGUUAAAUGUCU
rnacentral:lncRNA from 1 species